rnacentral:lncRNA from 1 species
CACUGGUUUAGCUUGGUUUUUCAGUUGUGUUUGGAGAGCUCUAAAAACUGGUUUUACUAAUGGAAGGCUGCUGAAAAUUGGUGAUGGAUCUACUAGAUUGAAAGAAGAAGACACGGACUAGCAAAGAGGAAGAGCUCCCAGCAGCUAAAUCCUCACUUGCCCUCUCGUUUUUUUCUUUGCUUUCCGUAUUCCCUUCGCCAAAUCUGUCUC